rnacentral:lncRNA from 7 species
CCAGCCCAGCGCCAACGGCGGGGCUGCCCUGAGUCAGCCAGCAAGCAGCUUUGGAGUAAUAAAUCCUUCCCAACCUGCGUUGUUUGACUCUCCGAGCAUCUCCUAACUCAUCUUCUCUCCUUUGCUUUCAGAAGAUGCUCUGCUGGAAGCCGCGAGGAUCAACAACGUUUCGGAAGUCAACAGGCAGC